rnacentral:snRNA from 1 species
GUGCUAGCUUUGGCAGCACAUAUGCUAAAAUUGGAACGAUACAGAGAAGAUUAGCAUGGCCCCUGCUCAAGGAUGACACGCAAAUUCGUGAAGCGUUCCAUAUUAAA